AUUUCAGAUUUCUCUUGUUUAAUUUUUCUUCGUAGGGGAGCGAGGGGCUUGUUGUAACAGGGGCAAGUAGUAACAUGCCCUUUUCACUAGGAUCUUGUACGCUAUUAACGUAUUUCUUUGACUCGAUUUAACCUAUAAACCGCGCCGCAUCAUGUUGCCAUAGCCAAAAUCCCGCCGGCCAGCGCAGUGAGCGGAAGUGUGCACGUGCUUCAUUUCUGCCAGAAUGAGAGUGUAUAAAAGAAAGUCAGAGCGGGCAACACAAAGCCAAGAAGUGUACGAGUUAGCGGCAGCUGAAGUUUUAGAAAACAAAUGCAGUAUUCGGAAAGCUAGUCAGACUUUCCGAUUAUGUCACGUCUCUCUUUAUAGAUACAUAAAGAAAAAGAAGAAUAAUGAAAGAUUAAGAGUGGGUUAUGUUAAGCCUAGACAAGUAUUUACUGCAGAAGAGGAAGAUAAGAUAGCUUCGUACCUACUCAAGUGCGCCGAUAUAUAUUUUGGACUACUUCCUAUAGAAGUAAGGAAACUAGCUCACCAAUGCGGUGUGCAGCUUAGUGCUAAAAACAUUCCUCCUUCUUGGCAUCAAAAUAACAUGGCUGGUACUGACUGGUUCCAAAAUUUUAUGCGCAGAAAUUCACAUUUAUCAAAGGUAAAUCAACAAAUAAUAAAACCGGAGUGGGCAGAGCUAAAAAAAAGAUUUUAUGUUCAGAUUCAGAAUCUGAAGCAGAAGAAUGGUAUUGUCUGGUAUGUGGUGAAGCUUACACAGAUACAAAUAAAGAAGAUUGGAUAGAGUGUAUCAUUUGUAAGAUGUGGGCACAUGUAGGAUGUGUUACAGGAGACAUUAUAUCUUUUAUUUGUAUUAAUUGUAACUUAGAUGAAGACUGAAUUUAAUUAUAAUGAAACCCACCAAAUGUUGAUUCUUACAUAAGUAUAAUACUUUGUUAAAUAGCUGUUAAGAAAAGAUAAUUACGAAGCAUACCUUAGAUAUAAAUAAUUUAAUUAUUUACUGUAAUUCAAAAGUGCCAUGAUGAUUAUAAGUAGUGUUUAACUAAAUAAAACUGUUAAUUACUUAAUUUUUAAGUGUUGAUUACUAAAAAAAUGUAUUUGAGUUGAUUUUUGAUAAGAAUUACGUAAUACUUACUUUAGAAAGAUGUCAAUUAAAAAAAAAAAAAAGAAUAUAUGAUUAGAGGUAUUAUGGUUGUUUUUUUUUUGUCGUUACUACUUGCCCCGGUAGACGUUACAACUUGCCCCAAGCACGAGGUAAGUUGUAACACCGCACUUCUUCUAGAAAAUAAUUGAUUGUAAAAUAAUGACCAAUAGUUAUGGUAUUAUUUUUACUUGAUUUGGUAGAGGAAGAGUUACAGUAUUCAUCCAUUUUUAUUUAGUAGAAAUUUAAUCAAUAGAUCUCAAGAUAUAUUAGUUUUAAUGAAAACUGUUACAAAAAGCCCCUCGCUC